UUUUAUUAAAGGAUCCUGUAAUGAAGGAUCCUCUAUCGUGGACGUUAAAAGUGAACUAUUAGCGAUUCAAGUUCAUCUCCAAGCCACCUAUCGGAAGAAACUGUAAUAUCGGCUUAAGUGUUCGAGGAGUUAUAAGAGUUGUGUUCUAGAGUUUCAUCAUUUAUCUAAUAUUUAUUUCAACAUUAUGGAUAGUGAUUACUGCCCUAAAAUAACGAAAUCAAAGGUGUUUUGUUGUGUUUAUGGAUGCAACAGUAGAGCAAACAGAGAACCCGUUUCAUUUAAUAAGUGGAAAUAGAAUAACUGGAAUUUUAUUUCAAAAAAUAUAUUAAUUUUUCAAUUAUUCAUUACAAAUAUGGUGUAACAUUUUCUCAAUAUAGUUUUUUUUCAAAGAAGUUAACAUAU